UGCACAUAGAUUUCUUCUCUUCCAGCUGUAAUGCAGAUCUCUAAAAUGUUAUGGGAAUCACUUAAGCAACAUCGGUAUAUCAGGAAUGGCCAUGCUGCCACGUCACAGCUGCUGAAGUGCUGGACUUACAUCUGGAAACCUGGAAACUUUCUGGAUGGGACAGGAGUUGUGCGCAACACCGGCACAAAGCUAGUGACCAUGACCAGCCCUGCUCUGCUAAACCUGGGAGUGUGCUAAUCCCAUAGUGAUAUGGUGAUUUUAAGCAUAUCCAAUACCAAG
rnacentral:lncRNA from 1 species